rnacentral:piRNA from 1 species
GGCACAGGGAACCUACUGCACGAGACUUUCU